CCCUUAGAUGUCCUGGGCCGCACGCGUGCUACACUGACACUUACACCGAGUUUUUCCAAUGCCGAAAGGCCAUUGGUAAUCAGCAAUAAGUGUCGUGAUGGGGAUAGAUCUUUGGAAUUAUUGAUCUUGAACGAGGAAUGCCUAGUAAUCGUAGGUCAUCAGCUUGCAUUGAUUACGUCCCUGCCCUUUGUACACACCGCCCGUCGCACCUACCGAUUGAAUGGUCCGGUGAAAUCUCGGGACGGCGGCUUGGUCGCUUGCGUCCGACUGCUGAAACUUGAUUAAACCAUAUCAUUUAGAGGAAGGUGAAGUCGUAACA
rnacentral:rRNA from 1 species